GUUUUUAUUGGUGAAACGCUUCAAGGAGUAUCAUCAUUUCCUAGUACGAGAGCCAGUUCUGACUGCUCAGCGGACACACUCAAAGACUAGGAUAACAGCAGGUGUAAAGGAAACACGUCCCAGAGCGCUUUAAGGUCAUCAUCCGGAAAAAUGCGUCUCCUUCUGGCAACGUUACUUGUUUUUAUUGUUUUUCUGGGCAUAGUGGCCGAAGGGGAAGGGACACCGUACGGAGGUGGAGGACGGCCAGUGAAACCCAAACUGCCACAAUGCUGCCCACCUGUCUGUCCCUGCUGUGACCCACACAACCCAUGUACCUGCCCUUACCCGUGCCCAGAGCAGGGUUCAUAGACUGUCGGAUGGUGUCAAUGACUGAAUAAGGAAGCUCCUGCUCGAGGUGAAUGUGAAGCCUUUUGCCAACUAAAUGAAGAACUUUAUAUUUGAAUAUUAAAUGCUGAAGUAAGCUUCUUCCUAAAGUUAACAUUUAUAUAAUUAUAUUUAUACAUAUGAUCUAUACAUGUGUAUAUAUAUAGUCCAUUUAUAUUAUAAAUGUUUUGAAAUACAUACAUAAAACAGC